UGCUAUUGGCCAGUGGUUCACCGCUACAUGCCGGAACCGUUUGAUUUACUUAUCUCGAGUUCUCGACCCAGGAUGGGCUCGCCGUGUUUGCUAGCUCUGGGUGCCGGCUGCCGAGGGCGGAGGGACUGUGCCCUAGCGGUGCACGCUGGCUUCGGUUGUCAAGGGGCAGCGCGACGGCGUGCGGUACGCAUGCGCGCCUGGCCUGGUCGAUGACGGCUCCACGCACGGCGCUGGCUGCUCCAAAAGUGAAGCUCCGACGACGACACCCAGACCCAGAAGCCAGUCGACGCGUCCCACAUUAGCGGCACGGUCCAGGCCGGCGUGCCCGACGCCGGUGCCGUGAUGACGGUGCUCGUCUCAGCAGGCCUUGCUCUUCGGCGGUGCAGGUCAAUGACGGUGAACAAAGCGGAUACGGUGAGUCUUCUUGGGGUGAGGCCGUGCUCAGUCCCUGUGCAACCCCAGACCUUCACCCAUGCCGCCCCAUCUCCACUGGGCCGCCGUUGUUGCUGUUACCGCACAGGCCAACGCUAGUUCUCCAUUGCUCCACCUGAUUCUACACCGCCCACAAGGUGUUCGACAGAUUGUCUCACAUGUUUAUUUUCAAGUGUUAUGUCUUUCACUCUUUGCCGUAAACGCUGACUGACGCAGCACCGUUGCUAAUUGCCUGUGCUCAAAAGUUAAAACACAAAUUGAGCGCCCCCCUCCUACCCGAGCUUCCAGCAGCAUCCUCUUCGUCGUGGUGUCAAUGAAGGUAAGCUUAAUAGUCCAUCCAUCGGAUCUUACGGGCCACUGAAUUUUUUGCAUCUGAAGACUGAAGGUGUUCAUCACCUUGAGCAUUUACUUGUGUUCUCAUGUAUACCAUGUUCAACUGAGGCCAAUGGUUGAAAGAUAUUAUUUGAAAUGUUCCUUGGUUCGUCAGCAGGGCGCACACACUGUGUUUGACGACGACCCCGCUCCUGACCUGCUGUGCAUACCCUGCUUGUAAGAGAGGACCUUUUUAUGUCUAAUUAUUUUCCUGGGAGUUCCUAUGCUGGCAAAGUGGUGAGAUGCAUUCACAUUGGAAAAUUGUAUUGGUCAAAACUCAAAUUGAAGUAGCAGGCUCUGAUCCUCACUGCUUAGCUUUUCUAGAGAGGGUCAAAACUCAAAAGAUCUUUUGUUUUGGAACAUUUGUGUAUUUGGUGAAACCCUGGACAGAAGACCCAAUCCCGAGCUUCAUUUCCAGUUUAGCAGUGGCCGUGUGCGGGAAUGUUGCUUCUUUGAAAGGAUAUGGGGGCAGUAGAAGGUUAAGGAAAAUUUUGCUUUGGGAGAACGCAAAGAGAGAAAAGGGAUGCAAACAGAAGUCUGCUGGCCUGGUACAGUAUUUAACUUCUUGGUUGAUGUUGUUUGUCUAAACCAGCUUACAUGCAGGAUUACUUUUUUUUUCUCUACUGAAGGAGUUAUAAUUAUACUCCGCGGUGUUGCUGCGUUUCAGUUUAAUAGCACCAUAUUCUGUCUUAGGAUUCAGUUCUGUACCUGUUACAUUUAGCAUUUCAACUUGACAACAAGCAUUGCCGAGACAAAGGCUUGAUAAAUAUUGGUUUCUGUGUUGCCAUUUGUUAGGAAUUUAAACAUGACUUACGGCCUAAUAAAGAAAAGAUGCAGGAAGCAGGAGGGAAGAUGACUUUCCCAGUCACACGAUCACUUGUAUUCACAAAAAUGCAGCUUGCCUAUUUGCUUCCUCAGUGUUGGGCAUGCUAUUCCAAUUAACUGAGUAUGGCAUUAUGUGAGCUCAGGUUUUUCUUUUGAAGCAACGAGCCACGUCGUCGAUUUCCAUUAGAGAAACCGACACAUAGACUUGUGCGCCUGAGAUUAGAUGGCUGGUAACCCGUCCAAUUUUGCUUCGGAUCCAGGUGUAUAGCACUUUAACAGUUCCUCUGUUAGUGCUGUUGGGCACCUUUUUGAAUGAUAUGACUCAUAGAUGUGGUUUCUGGCCCGUGUUUACUGCCACAUUUUCUCAACAUAGCAUUAUUCCACUACUGUUUGUGUUGUGGAUGUAUGGCUAGAAAAAAAAUUAUUGUUAUGCAAAUUUGAUAUGUUUCAUGUGGCCAUAUAUUCACAAAAAUUCCUGUAAUUUUAUUGUACAAAAUAGACGGACGUGGCAACAAGCAUCAUCAAUGAUCUAAUAUAUUGAUGUUUCUUAUGUAACUCUCACGGUUUCUGCUACAAACCUUUGGCUUGCAGAAACCAGUAUGAAGGCACGACGGCUGUGCGGCCUCUGCCUCCCGGGAGCCUCUACUUCCCACUUGGAAAGAGAGACAGGUGGCGUCUCGGAAUAGUAGACGCACAUUGGUUGAAAAAUGGAACCUUGAACCGGACCAAACAGGAAGCAGAGAGGGAGAAGAGGAAGAAGCCGGAGGCGAAAGGGAUGGGUGGGCAGAGCCGCAGAGAGAGCAAUCCCCAAAAGCUACCCUCUUCUUUCUCCUCCACAGAACUCGAUUGCCAGGCAUCUUUACUCUGUGCUGCACCUCUUUUCUCCCGUGGACUUGGCCCAUGGACCAUGCUUGUGGCAAUUUUAUUCUCUUUUCUUUUUGAAUUACUGAUAUAGUAGCAGUUUUGAG